AACGAACGCUGGCGGCAGGCUUAACACAUGCAAGUCGAGCGCCCCGCAAGGGGAGCGGCAGACGGGUGAGUAACGCGUGGGAAUCUACCCAUCUCUACGGAAUAACGCAUGGAAACGUGUGCUAAUACCGUAUACGUCCUUCGGGAGAAAGAUUUAUCGGAGAUGGAUGAGCCCGCGUUGGAUUAACUAGUUGGUGGGGUAAAGGCCUACCAAGGCGACGAUCCAUAGCUGGUCUGAGAGGAUGAUCAGCCACACUGGGACUGAGACACGGCCCAGACUCCUACGGGAGGCAGCAGUGGGGAAUAUUGGACAAUGGGCGCAAGCCUGAUCCAGCCAUGCCGCGUGAGUGAUGAAGGCCCUAGGGUUGUAAAGCUCUUUCACCGGUGAAGAUAAUGACGGCAACCGGAGAAGAAGCCCCGGCUAACUUCGUGCCAGCCGCCGCUGUAACAC
rnacentral:rRNA from 1 species